rnacentral:rRNA from 1 species
UACGAAGGGGGCUAGCGUUGCUCGGAAUCACUGGGCGUAAAGCGCACGUAGGCGGAUCUUUAAGUCAGGGGUGAAAUCCUGGAGCUCAACUCCAGAACUGCCUUUGAUACUGGGGAUCUCGAGUCCGGAAGAGGUAAGUGGAACUCCGAGUGUAGAGGUGAAAUUCGUAGAUAUUCGGAAGAACACCAGUGGCGAAGGCGGCUUACUGGUCCGGUACUGACGCUGAGGUGCGAAAGCGUGGGGAGCAAACAGGAUUGAGA